rnacentral:misc_RNA from 1 species
GAUGAAGAACGCAGCGAAAUGCGAUAAGUAAUGCGAAUUGCAGAAUUCCAGUGAGACAUCGAAUCUUUGAACGCACAUUGCGCCCUUUGGUAUUCCGAAGGGCAUGCCUGUUCGAGCGUCAUUAUCACCCCUCAAGCCCUCGGCUUGGUGUUGGACGGUUUGGUGGAGGCCCCCUCGGGGGCUCCUGCCCCUCCCAAAGACAAUGACGGCGGCCUCGUUGGACCCCCGGUACACUGAGUUCUUCACGGGACACGUAUCGGACACAUGGGUUUACGGGACACGGUCUGCCUCCCCUCAGGGAGAAUCUUUCUAAGGUUGACCUCGGAUCAGGUAGGGAUACCCGCUGAACUUAAGCAUAUCAAUAAGCGGAGGA